UAGAGCAAAUCUCAAAAAAACAAUCUCAGUUCAGACUGCAGGCUGCAACUCGCCUGCACGAAGUCGGAAUUGCUAGUAAUCGUAGGUCAGCAUACUACGGUGAAUACGUUCCCGGGCCUUGUACACACCGCCCGUCAAACCAUGAGAGUUGGCAACACCCGAAGUCGGUAGUCUAACCGCAAGGAGGACGCCGCCGAAGGUGGGGUUGAUGAUUAGGGUUAAGUCGUAACAAGGUAAC
rnacentral:rRNA from 1 species